rnacentral:pre_miRNA from 1 species
AGCUUUUUGAGUCCAUGCAAAGAUUUCGUCAGACACCAACACAUUUGGGCAGAUCAGACUUACAAGAUAAUUAAAGUC